rnacentral:rRNA from 1 species
GACGGAGGAUGCAAGCGUUAUCCGGAAUGAUUGGGCGUAAAGCGUCUGCAGGUGGCAGUUCAAGUCUGCUGUCAAAGACCGGGGCUUAACUUCGGAAAGGCAGUGGAAACUGAACAGCUAGAGUAUGGUAGGGGCAGAGGGAAUUCCUGGUGUAGCGGUGAAAUGCGUAGAGAUCAUGAGGAAGACCAGUGGCGAAGGCGGGUCUCUGGACAGUUCCUGACACUGAGGCACGAAGGCCAGGGGAGCAAACGGG